rnacentral:rRNA from 1 species
UACGGGGGGAGCAAGCGUUGUUCGGAUUUACUGGGCGUAAAGGGCGCGUAGGCGGCCUCUGCAAGUCGACUGUGAAAUCUCCGGGCUUAACCCGGAACGGUCAGCCGAUACUGCGGGGCUAGAGUGCAGAAGGGGCAACUGGAAUUCUCGGUGUAGCGGUGAAAUGCGUAGAUAUCGAGAGGAACACCUGCGGCGAAGGCGGGUUGCUGGGCUGACACUGACGCUGAUGCGCGAAAGCUAGGGGAGCGAACGGG